AACGAACGCUGGCGGCAGGCUUAACACAUGCAAGUCGAACGCCCCGCAAGGGGAGUGGCAGACGGGUGAGUAACGCGUGGGAACAUACCCUUUCCUGCGGAAUAGCUCUGGGAAACUGGAAUUAAUACCGCAUACGCCCUACGGGGGAAAGAUUUAUCGGGGAAGGAUUGGCCCGCGUUGGAUUAGCUAGUUGGUGGGGUAAAGGCCUACCAAGGCGACGAUCCAUAGCUGGUCUGAGAGGAUGAUCAGCCACAUUGGGACUGAGACACGGCCCAAACUCCUACGGGAGGCAGCAGUGGGGAAUAUUGGACAAUGGGCGCAAGCCUGAUCCAGCCAUGCCGCGUGAGUGAUGAAGGCCUUAGGGUUGUAAAGCUCUUUCACCGAUGAAGAUAAUGACGGUAGUCGGAGAAGAAGCCCCGGCUAACUUCGUGCCAGCAGCAGCCGCAG
rnacentral:rRNA from 1 species